CAGAAUGUAACUUAAUAAAAGUAUUUCGCUUACACCGCAACCAUAUUUGUGCAAACCAAAUUAUUCUGA
rnacentral:tRNA from 1 species